rnacentral:rRNA from 1 species
GACAGAGGGUGCAAACGUUGCUCGGAAUUACUGGGCGUAAAGCGCAUGUAGGCGGUUUCGCAAGUCGGGUGUGAAAGCCCAGGGCUCAACCCUGGAAGUGCACUCGAUACUACGGAGCUGGAGUCUUGAAGAGGAGAGCGGAAUUCCUGGUGUAGCGGUGGAAUGCGCAGAUAUCAGGAGGAACACCAAUGGCGAAGGCAGCUCGCUGGGACGGUACUGACGCUGAGGCGCGAAAGCGUGGGGAGCAAACAGG